rnacentral:pre_miRNA from 1 species
AGAAUGCAAAUUUUUAUGGAGUUGGAACGUUUGCGUACAUUUGCCGUUAGGGGCGCUGUUCCAACUGCCAAUUUGAGUCA